CCAAGUGAUACCAAUUCACCACCUACCUGCUGUCCAGUUGAGUCAGUGUGGGCAACACCACAUGCCUCCGUUUGUUGUUGACGGACACAUGCCCGCUGUGUAUGGGCUGGCACAUUGACCAACAAUGUACGGACAGCGCCCUGUGGGCACAUGAGUGUUGGGGUGUAACCGAUGUUGGUGGCCCUAUGGGUGAGCCGACGAUUGCUGCUGUCGUCGGGUCGCUGCGCCAACGGAGGAAGCACGCCCACAGGGCACCCUAACGGCUGUGCUGGCGUCUGUGCGUCGUUGAGCGGUUGUUGCGCCUUGCGCAGAUAUGCUAACAUGGAGUGUAGCUGCUACUCCAUGUUGUACGUGCCGUACCUUGCGGCAUGUCUGCGCUUGUGUGCUACGUCCGUGGCCGUGAUGAGACGACGUGUUAGGACCCGUGCCUUGGCAUUGGCACGUGGUUUAAGACUUGAUGAGUGCCCGCAGGCACCGCCAGCUUUUUCCCAUUUUUAUUUAUUUUUUAUGCAAUUCGAUUGCUAAAAUAUUCUAGUCUUAUCGGUGGAUCACUCGGCUCGUGGAUCGAUGAAGAACGCAGCCAACUGCGAUAAUUAGUGUGAACUGCAGAAACCUUGAACACAGAACUUUCGAAUGCACAUUGCGCCAUUGGAGUGACAUCCAUUGGCACGCCUGGUUCAGGGUCGUAACCAAAAAAUGCACUGCAUGUGCGUGUUUUAUUUGCAAAGAUCACGCUUCGGCGUGUUCUUGCAUACUAUUGAAUGCUACGCUGUGUAGCGUUGGACGUGCUGGCGCGAAAAUGUGUUGUCAUUCGCGCUUUACAGACCGUAAUUUAGGCACGCCCUUCGUUCACAUGCGAUAGCUGAAUGCCUCGCCAAUAGGCAUUUGCAAUUGA
rnacentral:misc_RNA from 1 species